UCAGUUCAUUGAAUUUAAUGGGCUAGUAUCACUGAAACAAACUCCUAACUUGCCAAGCUCAAUUUAUUCUAACAUUUACCUAUCUUAAGAGAAAAGUAAAUCAGUCAAUAAGUGAUACAGCUUAAUUUUCAUGUUUAUCAACUCAUUUUUUAUGUUAUUGCUCACCCUUGGAUCAAUUAUGUAGUGAUAACUUUGCGCGUAUUUAAUUUUUAGGCUUUGAAACUGAAAAUA